UCCCUGGUGGUCCAGGGGGUAAGACUCUGUGCUUCCACUGCAGGGGGCACAGGUUUGAUCCCUGUUUGGGGUA
rnacentral:tRNA from 1 species